GCGAGGCAGAUCUCGUGGGAGGCCGGUUCUCGUCCGAUCACCGAAGCUAAGCAGCAUUGGGCUCGGUCACUACUAGGGAGGGAGACCACCUGGGAACACCGAGUGCUGAUGGCA
rnacentral:rRNA from 1 species